CACCUUUGGAUUACCCCUUCGCUGUGUGCCUUAUCUACCCACAUCGUGACAGAAAGCAAGACCAUAAGACUGAAAGUAAGCGGCGUCUUUUCCCCCCCCUGGAGAAGUUAAAAAG